AACGAACGCUGGCGGCAGGCUUAACACAUGCAAGUCGAGCGCCCCGCAAGGGGAGCGGCAGACGGGUGAGUAACGCGUGGGAACGUACCCUUUGCUACGGAAUAGCUCCGGGAAACUGGAAUUAAUACCGUAUGUGCCCUACGGGGGAAAGAUUUAUCGGCAAAGGAUCGGCCCGCGUUGGAUUAGCUAGUUGGUGGGGUAAUGGCCUACCAAGGCGACGAUCCAUAGCUGGUCUGAGAGGAUGAUCAGCCGCAUUGGGACUGAGACACGGCCCAAACUCCUACGGGAGGCAGCAGUGGGGAAUAUUGGACAAUGGGCGCAAGCCUGAUCCAGCCAUGCCGCGUGAGUGAUGAAGGCCUUAGGGUUGUAAAGCUCUCUCACCGGAGAAGAUAAUGACGGUAUCCGGAGAAGAAGCCCCGGCUAACUUCGUGCCAGCCGCCGCAGUAAGAC
rnacentral:rRNA from 1 species